rnacentral:rRNA from 1 species
AUUGAACGCUGGCGGCAGGCUUAACACAUGCAAGUCGAACGAGUGGCGGACGGGUGAGUAAUGCAUGGGGAUCUGGCUGAUGGAGGGGGAUAACUACUGGAAACUGUCGCUAAUACCGCAUACUAUAGGAUGAGCCCAUAUGGGAUUAGCUAGUUGGUGGGGUAAAGGCUCACCAAGGCGACGAUCUCUAGCUGGUCUGAGAGGAUGAUCAGCCACACGGGGACUGAGACACGGCCCGGACUCCUACGGGAGGCAGCAGUGGGGAAUAUUGCACAAUGGGCGCAAGCCUGAUGCAGCCAUGCCGCGUGUAUGAAGAAGGCCUUAGGGUUGUAAAGUACUUUCAGCGAGGAGGCGUUACCCGCAGAAGAAGCACCGGCUAACUCCGUGCCAGCAGCCGCGGUAAUAC